UACGAGGGGGGCGAGCGUUGUUCGGAAUUAUUGGGCGUAAAGGGCGCGUAGGCGGUGCGGUAAGUCACCUGUGAAACCUCUGGGCUCAACUCAGAGCCUGCAGGCGAAACUGCCGUGCUGGAGUGUGGGAGAGGUGCGUGGAAUUCCCGGUGUAGCGGUGAAAUGCGUAGAUAUCGGGAGGAAUACCUGUGGCGAAAGCGGCGCACUGGACCACAACUGACGCUGAGGCGCGAAAGCUAGGGGAGCAAACAGG
rnacentral:rRNA from 1 species